GCGUCGAACAGACGCUGAACGGACAGAGCCUCCCCUGUUCGUCUAAGGCUCAACAACCUGUACAAAUAGAGUACCAACUUGCACAUGCGGAAACAAACAUAAUGGCUUGCACGAGGACAAACAAUAGCCAAAGUGAAAGAGCUAACUAAUCACAUACAAGUACUAUGAUUAAAUUUAAAUCGCAGAUUUAAACACUUACAUUCUUUUUCAUCAUUUUUUUUACAUCUCAUAUCUCCAAAAUAUAACAUUUGAUAUUAAGUAAAUUCUUUUACAUCAUUCAUGUCCUUUCAUAUAACAACUAUAAUCAUCG
rnacentral:lncRNA from 1 species